AUGGGGACAAGAACAGGCUCGUUUCCUCCUGAUCAACCGAGAAAACAGCGAACCCCUCGCCUGCCGGGCGCUGCGGCGUGGCACGGAGGGCGCCGGGGCCAGCACGGCGCCGCCGCCUGCCCUGCUUCACCCCGGCCCGGUCCCAGCGAGGGGCGGGCAGCUGCCCCCGUCGUUACCCCGUGCUGCCGCCGGCUGCCGCGUUUGAAAGGGCCGCCAGCGCGACCAUGGCGGAUUCACCGCCCGACGCGCCGCGGGGAGGAGCAGGAAGCGGCGACCGCGCCGCGCCGCAGGAAGUGCCGGGCCGGGGCGGUGCCGCCAUCUCGCACCGCCCCUCGCACCGCCCGCACCGCCCGCACUGCUGCUCGUACCUCCCCUCACACCGCCUCUCGUACCUCCCCUCACACCGCUGCCCGUACCGCCCCUCACACCGCUCCUCACACCGCCCCUCGUACCUCGCUCGCCGCCCCUCACACCGCCCCUCGUAUCUCCCUCGCUGCCCCUGCACAGCCCCCGCCGCCCCUCACGCCGCCCCGGGAGCGGAGAGGGGUGAGGGAUUGAGGGCCAGAGCCCCCGAGGCUGCCUCAGGGCGAGAGCCUCAGCCGCCUUCCUCUUAAACCGAGAAAGGGUGGCCGUGCAGACAUGUCCCGGUUCGGUUCUGGGAGCCCGAAAGGUGUUAGCCGAGAAGCACGGAUUUCUCACAGGGGUCUUGGAAAGCAGAGGUCGCCGGUGUGUGAAGCUGAGAUACUGCGACAAAGGUGGCUGCAGAAGACGCAGAAAUUAAUACACACCCUUUCGGCCCCCAGAGUAGAUAGGAACAUGUAGAUCCCAAUAUACAUAAGGAUGCUCGGGUUCUUUACCCAUGCACACUAAAAUUUGCAUUGCUUUUCCUUAUAAGCAUUUGCACGCUAGUGCUGGAAAACGUAUCCAAAGGUUAGGUUCCUGCCUUAAAAUUGUUACUAAAAUUAUGUUUCCCUUCCGUCUCUGCACCUUUUUCAUCCAUAUCUUCUAAGUCAGUGCUCAGCAAGGAUCCUGUGAAGUCCGUAUCUCGUGCAAAAUGUUUAAUGGGUGCUGGCUUCUGGAGCCAUCGCCAGAAACAUGGAGCAAGCACACUGCUACAUUAAAGCUGCCUUUCCAGCUUCCAUUACCCUAAAAGGUCUUCUGCUUUGUAUCAUAAAUAUUUGUAACUUGUGGUCAUAACUACAAGCCAGCUGUCCUCCAGCCUUGGAACAGCAACAUCUUAAAUGUAACUAAGGUGCUAUAAACUUAAACAAUUCAUAAUUUUUCAUCUUGACUUUUUAAUAAAUGUGUGUUUAACAGCCUGGAAUGGUUUUAAACACAACAAUGUUCAAUGCAGUCUCUCUGCAUGGAGUUUACCUGACCCCUUUAGCUUUCAGAGGCCUGGAGAGAGGCUUAUGCACAUACUUGUCUUUAUGCAUGGGGCUGUAUCUCUGGUGCCAGAUCUUCAGCUGAUAUAAACUGUUACAGCUCUGCUGAUUUAAAUAGGGCCCGUGAUUUACACAAGUUGAGGAUCUGACUCACAGCCUCAAUAGGACUGUUCACAUAUUUCAAGGUGAUCAAGUGUGCAAGUGUUUGCAGGCUCAGGGCUGAUGCACCUGGAGUUUUGUCCCAGUAAGACCUGAGCAAAGGGUAGUUCAGUGUAAUACCAGGGAGUGUGAAAUCAUGUUAGAUCAUCAGGUUUUUUGGAUAAAACAUUGUCAUUUAUAAUAAAAAAGGUUCUGAUUCUUUAUAUUUCAGAUCAGAUUCUACUCUUAUUCCAAAACAAUCUUUAAAUAAAUAUAGGAACUCAGGGCACUAUAUAAGUAAGGACAAAAGAUUGCAACUAUAAAUACCUUAAAAGUCAUAUUUAAAGACUUGGUCUGGUUAAAUUUUGUGAUACUUAGAGUGCAGCUUUGUGUAGAAUAUAAAAAUACUGCCUGUAUCUUCUGACUCCUUUGAUGCACUGCAUUAAAAUUCCUAUGUCUAAGUACAUAUCAUGCAGUCAACUUUACUUCUCUUCUAUUAAUAGUGUGAAAUUAGGUCACUGUUCUUGUAAGGAUAGGCUAAGCCUGUAAAACUGAUUUAAAAGAAAUUACCUAUAUAUAAAUGUUUGGGUUCCUUUCUCAUGCUCGCCUACAGUGACACCGUUCCUUAUCUAUAAUCAGUGAUUUUUCUGUCUGUUCUGACAUAUAUAUGUCCUAUGCUGGCAAGUUUUUGUAGGUUUGUUUAUAGUGACCCCUGCUGCAA
rnacentral:lncRNA from 1 species